AUGGCUCACCACCGUGUCCUGUCCGUGGCCAUCGUCGCCGUCGCACUGCUGGCUUCCCCCGCCGCGGCAGUAUACCCAUGGACAAUUUGCGGCCGCAGCACCUACACGGCCAAGAGCCAGUACCUGGCCAACAUCAACCGCAUCGGAGCCACGCUUCCGAGGAACGCCUCCCGGUCGCCGGACGUGUUCGCCACCGCCCUGGUCGGCGCCGUUCCGCAGCAAGUCUGGGCCCUGGCACUCUGCCGCGGCGACGCCAACGCCUCCUACUGCCUCACCUGCCUCGACCAGGCCUUCCAGGACCUGCCCAACGCGUGCCCCUACAGCAGGGACAGCACCAUCUACUACGACUCCUGCGUGCUCCACUACUCCAACAUCCGGUCCCGCCCCGACGACGACACCACCUACAACCCGACGAUCCCGCUCCGCAACAACGUCAACGCCACGGCGGAGCCGGCCCGGUUCCAGCGCGUCGUGGCCGCGCUCUUGAACGCCACCGUGAGCUACGCCGUCACCAACUCCACGCGGCUGUAUGCGUCCGGGGAGGCCGACUUCGACCAGGAGCUCCCCAAGGUGUACGCCUGGGCGCAGUGCACGCCUGACCUGACGCCGGCGCGGUGCCGGGACUGCCUCACCGUGAACAUCAAGACAUGGGAGCCUGUGUUCACGGACGCUAUUGGAGCCAGGAUUCUUGGGAUGAGGUGCAGCUACCGCUACGAAACAACGCCCUUCUUUAAUGGCCCGGUGAUGGUGCGGCUGGCAGGAACGUCGGCCAGCUCGGGCGCACCGGCGUCGGCGCCGGCUGUGGUGCCCAACGUUUUGACGCCACAAGCGGCGGCGGCCGGAGAAGGGAGAAAGUACAGUGUUCCUGGCAUGGUUCUCAUAGUUCUUCUUCCUAGCGCAGCAGCCAUAAACCUUGUCCUCUGCUUCCUUCUCUGGAGGCGGCGCCCACUGGCAGAAGCAAACCAGUCAUAUGGAGGUUAUUCUGCCGAAGCCAAGGACAUUGAAAGUGUGGACUCGAUGUUGAUCGACAUCUCAACUUUACGAGCUGCAACCGGGGAUUUUGCGGAAGCCAACAAGCUUGGCGAAGGCGGAUUCGGUGCGGUGUACAAGGGUACUCUCCCGGACGGCGAAGAAAUAGCAGUGAAGAGACUGUCCAAGAGCUCAACACAAGGAGUGGAGGAGCUGAAGAAUGAGCUCGCCUUGGUUGCCAAGCUUAAGCACAAGAACCUGGUCAGGCUUGUCGGCGUCUGCCUGGAGCAGCAGGAGAGGCUGCUCGUCUAUGAGUUCGUCCCGAACCGGAGCCUCGAUAAGAUUCUAUUCGACACGGAGAAGCGCGAGCAGCUCGACUGGGGAAAGAGGUACAAGAUCAUAAACGGGAUUGCUCGAGGCCUGCAGUACCUCCACGAAGACUCCCAGCUCAAAGUCGUCCACCGUGACCUCAAAGCCAGCAACAUCUUGCUUGACACCAACAUGAACCCCAAGAUCUCGGACUUCGGCCUCGCCAGGCUCUUCGGGCGAGACCAGACGCAGGCCGUCACCAGCCGUGUCAUCGGAACAUACGGGUACAUGGCGCCGGAGUACGUGAUGCGCGGGAACUACUCCGUGAAGUCGGACGCGUUCAGCUUCGGGGUCAUGGUGCUGGAGAUCGUGACGGGGAGGAAGAACAACGACUGCUACAACUCCCAGCAGUCUGAAGAUCUCUUGACUACGAUAUGGGAGCACUGGACGGCCGGAACAGUGUUGACUACGGUGGACCCGAGCAUCAGCAGCAGCUUCUCGGAGAGCGACGUCCGGAGGUGCGUCCACGUAGGGCUUCUGUGCGUUCAGGGGAACCCGGCGGAUCGGCCGGUGAUGUCGUCGGUGGUCAUGAUGCUCGGAGGCGAAACCGUCUCUCUCAGUGCCCCGUCCAAGCCGGCGUUCUAUGCGAGGAACGCCGAUGCCGAUCACCCGGUCAUCUCGUCCACUGUCUCCGUGCAGGAUGGUCCUGGAGUGUCUAUUUAA
rnacentral:rRNA from 1 species